CGGCCCCUCCCGGAAGUGCGGCGGUUGCUAGGCGGCUGUUGCUAGGCUACGGCGGCGGCUGUAACCAGGCCGGGUCGAUGGCGAACGUGGAGCCAGGGGAGCUGGUCGGCACCUUCCCCAGCCUUAUGGCCGAGGGCGCGCUGCUCAGCCGGCGCGGGCAGCACAGCAAGGCGCUGCUCUGCUUCACUAACGCUCUGCAGCUUCAAAAAGGGGAUAAGCACUGUCUGGUUGCUCGCUCAAAAUGUUACCUGAAGCUUGGGGACACAGAAAAUUCCCUGAAAGAUGCAGAAGCCUCUCUUCAAAAUGACAAAACAUUUUCUAAGGGACUGUACCAAAAAGCUGAGACCCUCUACACCAUGGGUGACUUCGAAUUUGCUUUAGUGUUUUAUCACCGUGGCCAUAAACUACGUCCAGAACUACAGAAAUUCAGAUUAGGGAUCCAAAAAGCUCAGGAAGCGAUUGACAACUGUGUUGGAAGUCCUUCCUCAGUUAAACUGGAGAAUAAAGGGGACCUCUGCUUUUUAAGCAGGCAGGCAGAGAGCAAGAAAAUGAAACAAAAACUUCCAGUCAACCUUGCAAGAAAGGAUCAAAAACGGCUGAAUAAACAGGAGCCCAUUAGGAACACAAAGGCUGAACGGCAGCUCCUUGGAGAGCUGUAUGCCGACAAGGCCUAUCUAGAGAAGCUGCUCAAAGAUGAAGACUUGAUCAGAAGCAACACAAAGCAGGGGAUGACAGUGGAGGAUCUAAUUUUGGGAGGCAUUAAGUACCUGGACACCCGGACUGAGUUCUGGCAGCAGCAGAAGCCCAUCUAUGCCCGGGUGAGAGACCGCAAGCUCAGGCAGCAGAGGUGGAUCCGAGACAAAAAGCGCAAACCAUCUGAGGUUGCCAGACACAUUGUGAAGAGCAUGGAGGAUAUUGACAUGUUGUUGACCAGUGGCUGCCCUGAAGGAAGCUGUAAGAAAGCAGAACAUGUGCUAAAAACAAUUAAAGGUUGGGCUGAUGUCGAAGUUCCCAACAAGAACGAACUGAUUGGAAACCUCUACAGCUGCAUUGGGAAUGCUCAGAUAGAUAUGGGACAAAUGGGGGCAGCACUUCAGAGCCAUAAGAUGGAUUUGGAGAUUGCAAAGGAAAAUGAUCUGCCAGAUGCCAUAUCCAGAGCCCUUGACAAUAUUGGCAGAGUUUAUGCCAGAAUCGGCAAAUUCCAGGAGGCCAUUGACACAUGGGAGGAGAAGAUCCCAAUGGCAAAAACCAGCCUGGAAAAGACAUGGUUAUUCCAUGAAAUUGGCCGGUGUUACCUGGAGCUAAAUCAAGCAACAGAAGGCCUGGAGUAUGGUGAAAAAUCCUUGCAGUCAGCAGAGGAGGAAGGCGAUGUUGAAUGGCAGCUCAAUGCUAGCGUGCUGGUUGCACAAGCACAAGUGAAACUUGAAGAUUACCAGUCUGCGGUUAUGAACUUUGAAAAAGCUCUUGAGAAGGCAAAGCUCGUUCAUAAUGAUGCAGCUCAGCAGGCCAUCAUCAUUGCUCUAGAUGAUGCAAACAAAGACUUCAUUGAAGAACUGAAAGUAGAAAAGGAGAGAAGAGAUUCUUUCAAAGCAUUCUCACCUGCUUUCUCAGCCCCCAGAUGGCCACCUGGAAUUCAUCUCUUUUUUUGGCAUGACCAGUGAAUUUCAGAGGGCUGCAACUUGCCAGCUCCCAGUUUCUCAUUAAUAUCUAUCAUGCAGCUUAACUUUUCGCACCAGCAAUGAAUUUCACCUCUUGAGACAAAAAAAAUUUUGGCUAUGUAAGUGAAUAUUUCUUUGAGAAGAUAAAGAGCAGACAUAAUAUGGAGCAAGAAAAUGACAAACAAGAGGAAAGAGAACAAGAGAAUGAGAGAAAUGAAAAAGAGAAAGAG